ACGGGGGGAGCAAGCGUUGUUCGGAUUUACUGGGCGUAAAGGGCGCGUAGGCGGUCAGCACAAGUCAGUUGUGAAAUCUCCGGGCUUAACUCGGAAAGGUCAACUGAUACUGUGCGACUAGAGUGCGGAAGGGGCAACUGGAAUUCCCGGUGUAGUGGUGAAAUGCGUAGAUAUCGGGAGGAACACCAGUGGCGAAGGCGACUACCUGGCCUGUUCUUGACGCUGAGGCGCGAAAGCUAGGGGAGCAAACGGGA
rnacentral:rRNA from 1 species